GGGGAAUAUUGCACAAUGGAGGGAACUCUGAUGCAGCGACGCCGCGUGAGCGAAGAAGGCCUUCGGGUUGUAAAGCUCUGUUGUAAGGGACGAAAGAAUAAGGGAGUAACUGCCCUUAAAGUGACGGUACCUUACCAGCAAGCCCCGGCUAACUACGUGCCAGCAGCCGCGGUAAGACGUAGGGGGCGAGCGUUGUCCGGAAUUACUGGGCGUAAAGAGCACGUAGGCGGGUGUUUAAGUCAGGUGUGAAAGACCGCAGCUCAACUGCGGGGUUGCACUUGAAACUGAACAUCUUGAGGGCAGGAGAGGUUAGUGGAAUUCCUGGUGUAGCGGUGAAAUGCGUAGAAAUCAGGAGGAACACCAGUGGCGAAGGCGACUGACUGGACUGACCCUGACGCUGAGGUGCGAAAGCGUGGGUAGCAAACA
rnacentral:rRNA from 1 species